ACUGCUACAAUGAAAAUAAUUAAAUUUUCUUUCUCUCCAUUGUGCCCCGCAUCAGAUCGAAAAAAAUUAAAUUCUCUUGUAUUACUUCAUAUUAAUAGAUGUCGACAAACUUGGCUUGCUGAAAUCCUCGAGUUCUUGAAGCAAUCACCCAGUAGUUUGUGUCUCUUCAAUGAGCGAAUUGAACCGGCGACGUGCAUCUAGGGUUUGCAUUAUCCAUCGAUUGGUGUAUCCACUAUCUUCGUAGGUAUAUCCACAGUGCCGACGAUUUCGAAGUUAUCAUUCAUGGAAAGUAGGAAUGCAUACGUGAUUUUGGCUAUUGAAGAGAUUUUACAAGCUCAGCUGUUGCAGCUUGUUAUCAUCGUCGAUUUUAUAGAACGGACCAGAAAUAGAAAAUGAAUGCGGAGUGUCCUGGUUGAGCCAUAUGGGAUGCUUCACCGGAUCCCUGAUCAGGUGAAGCAUCUAGAUAGGAUGAUAUGAUUCAAUGAUACCAACUGUAUUGCAAACCUUAGAAUGGAUCGAAAUACCUUUAGUAGGUUAUGUGUGUUGUUGAGACAGCUAGGUGGUCUUAGUAGUGGUCGUUAUGUUAGUGUCAAGGAGCAGGUGGCUAUGUUCUUAUCCAUGUUGGCACAUUAUAAGAAAAACAGGAUCGUCGGGUUUGAUUUUUGGCGUUCCGGGCAAACAAUUUCUCAUUACAUUCAUGUGGUUCUAAAAGCUGUAUUGAGGUUGCACAUCAUUCUGUUAGUGAAACCAAUGGCUGUGGCCGAGGACUCGACUGAUCCACGUUGGAAGUGGUUCAAGGUAAUUACAUAUAUUCUUCCUUUUCACAUCAUUUAACUAAAUGAUUCCAAAAAAAAUGAAUUUUGCUAAGCUAUAUAAAGAAUGGGCAGAAACUUGAAGGUUGUGUGAUUGACUAAUCCUAUUUAUAUUUGUUUGCUCGUGUGUUCUUUUAUUUUUUUAGGGUUGCUUAGGUGCCUUAGAUGGUACAUACAUUGAUGUGAUGGUUCCUAACUGUGAUAAGCCGAGGUAUCGAACGCGGAAGGGGCAUAUAUCGACUAAUACUCUAGCGGCAUGUGACCAUAAUAUGAAAUUCGUUUACGUUCUUCCUGGAUGGGAGGGGUCAGCAGCGGAUGCUAGGAUCUUACGUGAUGCCCUUAAUCGAGUAAACGGCUUUAAAGUCCCUAAGGGUUCUUACUACCUUUGUCAUAAUGGAUACGCGAACGCCGAGGGCUUCCUCGCACCAUACAAGGGCGUCCGAUAUCACUUGAAGGAGUGGGGGCCAAACGCUGCUCGUCCCCAAAAUGCCGAAGAAUUAUUUAACUUGCGCCACAUGAGGUCACGAAACGCAAUAGAGAGAGCGUUUGGGAUAAUGAAAAUGAGGUGGGGUAUACUUCGGAGCACGAAAUUCUACCCCGUCAAGGUGCAAAAUCGAUUAAUUAUGGCAUGUUUUCUUAUUAAUAAUUUCAUUCAUGGCGAGAUGGUUGUGGAUCCGAUAGAGCAAGCAUAUGAUGACCUGCCACAUGACACCCAAUAUGUUGAGCCCGAUCACGGUGAAUUUGUAGAUGCUGUGGAGCCGUCACGGGCUUGGACUGCCCAUAGGGAUGCCAUGGCAAACUCAAUGUGGCAGCAGUAUAUACUUCAAAACUGAUAGAUCAAUGGAGGGGCGUCGCUUUGGCUGGAACAAUGUUAUAUUUUGCAGUUGUGGCAAUGGACCUAUGAUUUUGAAGCGUGCAAGUAAGCAAGCGCGAAAUGUUGGACGAUUUUACUAUAAAUGCCCCAUCAACAAGGACCACUAUGGGUCGUUCAUGUGGUGGGAUGAAGUCCAUCAAGGAGUUCAAGCUACGCCUUUUUGGUGGUGUUUUGUAAAAAUUGUUGCUGGGGAUAAACAUGUAUUUGCCCCCGUUUUUUUUAUUUUAAUUUUGUGUGCUUGCUCGCUGCCUCAGAAGACAACUUUACUGCAAAUAACUAAACUAUUUCUGCUGCAACUAUGGAACUAUAGCUUGUAUUCAGACACAACCAAA